GCCGCUAUGGUGAAAUCGGUAGA
rnacentral:tRNA from 2 species